UGUCUGGGCCGGGUCUAAGUGCCUCAGUCAUAUCCUGAAAGUCUAAGUAUUUCCACUACCAAAACUAUCUGAAUUCCUAAAAGCCUCACUAUGACAUAAUUUCCUGAGAUCAUGACAGAAGAGCAUGUCACAGGCAAGACUAUUUUAUAGUUUCUCUUGACACAAAGUAGCAUAGGAACAUAGGAUUUCAUUUCAAUCCAGAUGGACUUUGAGCAUUCCCAAGUUGCAAGGCUAUCUGCCCGUGUCUGGAAUGUACUUCUUCUUUACUUCUGACUUUUUAAAACUCUCAACAAUAUUGAAGGAGAUGCUAACAUCCCAUCUCUCAUAGGCAGCAAAAAUGAACCCCUACUGUUAUGUGUGAUUUUUCCUUCCUUUAACCAUCAUGAAUGAAUUUAUUGGUUUACAUGCUGUUUCCUCUACAUCUUCUACACUAAAUCAAUGUGACCAAUAUGACCUGUCUUCUUGAAAAUUAUCAUAAAAGAGGUCUUCCAGGAUUCAAGAUGGCAGUAAGAUUGCAGUAAAUCACUGUAAUUCUUCCAGUAUAUUCACUUACAAACCACCAUAAAAGUGCCCCCCCACCAAUUCCUGAAACAGCAGAAUGAGAAAAAAAGAAAGGGAAAAAAUUUUUUUGGCCAAGAAAGAUGGAAGAUUGGCAAGAAAUGUAUGUCUUACUGAGGCAAAAGGGGAGUACACCCCAAGACAGGAUGCAUCCCAGCAAACCAGCAGCAAAUCUCACCUCAGAAAACCAUGGGAGAUCCUGAGGACCGGUGUGGUGAAGCAGGCAAAUGCCCACAGGACCACCCAUGUGCUUCAGCAUAACCAGGAGAUCGGGCAGACUCCAGCUCCAAGAACUUCCCCUUAAUUCAACAAAGACUCAGGUAAACCAGCAGAGGCCAACCCUGUGGGUGUCUAAGAAACAAACUGCUUCCAGAACUGAGUCGCUUCACCACAUAGCAUAGUCCCAAGCAAACAGGCUGCUGCCAGAGGCCAGACCAUCCUGUGCUUCAGUGUCUGGGAAAAUGCAGAAAUAACCCCCCGGCCUCAGCACAUGCUGGACACCAGCACGAGGAUCCUGGCUCAGCACCAGAUAAGCUUCCAAAAGCAUAUGAUCUCUAGGGGCACCAGACACUCCUCCCCAUGCUUCAGCCACUAAGCGCAGCACUACUCACAAAAGUCCCCCGUGGAACUCAGGGCAACACCAGUGCAACACCAGUUAAACAGUCAGGGUCUAGAAACUCUGGCACAAAAAUCUGAGAUAGUCAUCAUUCUACCUCAGAGCAGAUUCAAACUUAAAAAAAAAAAGAAAAAGAUCAAAAAAUAUCUGGAAAAAAAAACAAAAAAUGGCCAUAAAAAGUUAUUAUUCAGAAAGAAAACAAAUUCAGAAGAGGAAAAUGUCAAAAUAUAUAUAUGGAUAAAGUAAGUAGUAAGUAAGUAGUCUCAAGUCCAGAAAGAACUGAUAGAAGAGCUCAAAAUGGAGCUUACUUAGAAAUCAUAUAAGAGAAAUAGAAGAAAAAUUGGGAAAAGAAAUGAAAGAGAUGUAAGAAAAUUAUGAACAAAAAAGUCAACAGCUUAGAAAAAGAAACAAUACAAAAAGUAGAAUUAACCAAAUGGAAAAGGAAAUGCAAAAAUUCUUUGAAAAGUACAAUUGGCCAAAUUGAAAAGGAAAUUUAAAAGCUAGUAGAGGAAAAUAGCUCAUUAUUAGUUAAAUCAGGCAAGUGGAAGCUAAUGAAUCUAUGAGAUAUCAAAAUCAAUCAAAUUCAAAAGAAUGCAAAAAAUAGAAGGAAAUAUAAAAUAUUUCUUUGGAAAAGUAGAUGAUCUGAAAAAUAAAUCCAGUCUAUUCGACUUCCUGGAGGAGUCAAAAAGAGGACAUGAACAAUAUCUUUCAAAAAAUGUUCAAGGAAAACUGCCCUGAAAUCCUAAAACCAAAGGGCAAAAUAGGCAUUGAAAGGAGGAUUUAAGCAGCUACAAUAUUAAAGGAUCUAAGGAAAUAGAACAUGAUAUUCCAGAAGGCAAAAGAGUUAGAACUACAAU